GGUCAAGCUAAUAAGGGCUAACGGUG
rnacentral:rRNA from 2 species